rnacentral:rRNA from 1 species
GAUGAACGCUGGCGGCGUGCCUAAUACAUGCAAGUCGAGCGAACGGACGAGAAGCUUGCUUCUCUGAUGUUAGCGGCGGACGGGUGAGUAACACGUGGAUAACCUACCUAUAAGACUGGGAUAACUUCGGGAAACCGGAGCUAAUACCGGAUAAUAUUUUGAACCGCAUGGUUCAAAAGUGAAAGACGGUCUUGCUGUCACUUAUAGAUGGAUCCGCGCUGCAUUAGCUAGUUGGUAAGGUAACGGCUUACCAAGGCAACGAUGCAUAGCCGACCUGAGAGGGUGAUCGGCCACACUGGAACUGAGACACGGUCCAGACUCCUACGGGAGGCAGCAGUAGGGAAUCUUCCGCAAUGGGCGAAAGCCUGACAGAGCAACGCCGCGUGAGUGAUGAAGGUCUUCGGAUCGUAAAACUCUGUUAUUAGGGAAGAACAUAUGUGUAAGUAACUGUGCACAUCUUGACGGUACCUAAUCAGAAAGCCACGGCUAACUACGU